rnacentral:rRNA from 1 species
GAUGAACGCUGGCGGCGUGCCUAAUACAUGCAAGUCGAGCGAACGGACGAGAAGCUUGCUUCUCUGAUGUUAGCGGCGGACGGGUGAGUAACACGUGGAUAACCUACCUAUAAGACUGGGAUAACUUCGGGAAACCGGAGCUAAUACCGGAUGAUAUUUUGAACCGCAUGGUUCAAAAGUGAAAGACGGUCUUGCUGUCACUUAUAGAUGGAUCCGCGCUGCAUUAGCUAGUUGGUAAGGUAACGGCUUACCAAGGCAACGAUGCAUAGCCGACCUGAGAGGGAGAUCGGCCACACUGGAACUGAGACACGGUCCAGACUCCGACGGGAGGCAGCAGUAGGGAAUCUUCCGCAAUGGGCGAAAGCCUGACGGAGCAACGCCGCGUGAGGGAUGAAGGUCUUCGGAUCGUAAAACUCUGUUAUUAGGGAAGAACAUAUGUGUAAGUAACUGUGCACAUCUUGACGGUACCUAAUCAGAAAGCCACGGCUAACUACGUG